GGGGCUUAAAGUCUUGUAAUUGGAAUGAUGGGAAUUUAAACCUCUUCCAGAGUAUCAAUUGGAGGGCAAGUCUGGUGCCAGCAGCCGCGGUAAUUCCAGCUCCAAUAGCGUAUAUUAAAAUUGUUGCAGUUAAAAAGCUCGUAGUUGAAUUUCUGCUGUAUUGCAUUUUCUCUUUUUAUAUGAGUUUUUGCAUUAUGGCUUAUUUCAGUAUUAAUUUUUUAUUAUUACUGAAUGUUUACUUUGAGAAAAUUAGAGUGCUCAAAGCAGGCUUUUGCCUUGAAUAGUUUAGCAUGGAAUAAUAAAGUAGGACUUUGGUUCUAUUUUGUUGGUUUUAGGUACCAAAGUAAUGGUUAAUAGGAACAGUUGGGGGCAUUCGUAUUUAACUGUCAGAGGUGAAAUUCUUAG
rnacentral:rRNA from 1 species